rnacentral:lncRNA from 1 species
GUGGAAUUUGAAAAUCUUCUUGCUGCUGUGAUAUGACACUCGCUUUUGUCCCUAACCACCUCAACCCAUCCUCAGUAAAGUCUAUCACACUUAUGAAUGCUUUGUGUGAAAGUUUUGUUUUGUUUUUUAGGAAUUCAGGAAAGAACUUGAGUUCUACUUUUGCAGUGAAGAACAGAGAACACCUGCAGAAGCUGAGAAUGAAAUGAGCCCACCAGGACUUAGCAACCGUCUUGCUGAGGUUUGGAUUUUGACAGGGUGUGAAUGGUGGUUGGAGAUAAGCUUAUCUGGUUUUCCAGGGGCCAGGAGACCACAGCUAGGUUAGCAUCUGCAUUGCACAUGUUAUAGUAAGGAUGCCUGUUUGCUAUCAAAUUACUCUAACAGCAUUAUUUCCUUUGACUCUAUUUAACAGUCAUGUGAAGCAAACCCUUUCUGUAGAUUGUGCAAAUUUAACUCAAUCUGCAUUGGGCUGGACAUUGUGAUAAAUUACUAGGGAUCUACUUGAAUGACACUUUACAUGCAAACUUUAUUUUUACAUUUUAAUAUAUUCAAACUUAUAUGGUUAGGAGAGGAGUGUGACAGCUUCAAAAAUAGAAGAAAAAUCAUUAAAUGUUGACUGGUAGAGCUGGAAGAGAUCUCAGCAACUACUUUAUAGAUGAGGAAACUAAGACAUAGAGAAGUGGAUAACUUUCCAACAUCAUACAGCCUUUGAACAGUAGAUUCAUUGGAAUAAUUAAAACAGAAGGUCUUCUUUCCCUGCUAGGGGGAUUUCUGCCAUGAACCACUCCUCCUGUAGUACUCAAAGGUCUAACUUGGCUAUGGAAAAGCCUCUAUCUCAGGAAUGUUUAUGUCUUUGGAUCCUUUCCUCUCUUUUACAAAAGAACCCUGGAGAAAAUAAAAAAAAAAGGUCCACAUGGUUAUAAAACACUGAACUUCAGCUUUUUCUGAAGCCACCCUCUUGUCCAAAUUUUGGGGACUUUACGUGGAUGGGAGCAAGCAGUUUAUCUGGGCUUUUUCCUACUUCCUACCUCUCCCAGGACUGGGAGAGUCAACUGAAAACCAAUCAAUAUAUGUUUCAUUUUUGUUUUCUGUAUAAAUAGUUGUCUUAUCUGAAAUGACCUUUUUCCAAGAGCUAAUAGCCAUAAAUUUUUGCAGCUGGACAUGUUUAGAAAUGCCUCUUAGCUAUUUUUGUUGAUUUAUUUUCUUUGUCUGUAUUUGUGCAAUCCAGCUUUGGGCAUAGAAGCAAGCAGCUCUGGUUUCUGGUCCUCUACCUCUAAUGAUUUAAAUUCAGGGGACGUAGUUCUUUUUCUAUAGGAAUGGCCCCGUAUGGGAUUCCAUGGAGUCAUAGCUCAGCCCAGGAGUUAUUAUUCUAUCUUGGAGACUCAUGUUGAAUUCUUUUUGUGGCAACUAUUUCUGCAUUUUCUGCAUUUCUUUCUGAGUCUGCUUUGAAAUGUUUUUAUCUAUCUAUCUAUCUGCCUACCUACCUACUUCCAAUUUCGAUGUCCAAUAAUAUGGUGAUUAUAUAUUAUAGAGUAUUAACUCACUGGCAUAUUAAGUGACCACAAUAAAUGCAAAUGAAAAUAUCAUCUGCUGUGUAGCUCCAUGGAACAGCACAUCUGAAACAUAUUAAGUGACCAUUCCGUAUAUUUAAUUAUAGUCUGAAAAAUUUAUGUAACAUGUGGAUAAAGUUUAGACAUUUUCUCAAAAAGAAGUAAGUGAACUAGAAGUUCUUAAUGGCCUAAUAUGUGCUGGAUUUAUCUCAUUUAACCCUUAGAACAGUCCUGUAAAUUAAGCGUCAUUACCUCCAUCUGAAGAUGUAGAACCUGAGUCUCAAUGGAUCAAAUAACUUGUCUAAAGUCACACAGCUAAUAUUAAUAUAAAGGUACAGCCAGAGUUCUAGGUUGGUCCAAAAGCUGGAAUCUCUGCUCUUUUCAUUAUGCCGUGCUACGUUUAGAGAAAUCUAAGCAAUGAUAGACUUAUGUAAAGGGCUUAGAAUUGUAGCAUUUUGGGUUAAAAAUAAAAAUAAAAGUAAAUAUAAAAAUAUUUUUGUCCCCCUUCAUCUUCACUGUAUUAAUAAUUUCUGAGUUGGAGCAAAGGACACAUGACUGACACAAUAGAGAGAAAUCAUCAUUCCUCUCUGUCCUUUUGCUUCUAGAACAACGUUGUUACCUCUCUGUCUCUGGAUAUCCAUUUUCCAGGCCACAAUAUGUAUGUUCUGAGGUCUAAAGUCAAAAGGAUGCCAAGAAAAU